rnacentral:misc_RNA from 1 species
GAUGAAGAACGCAGCGAAAUGCGAUAAGUAGUGUGAAUUGCAGAAUUCAGUGAAUCAUCGAAUCAUUGAACGCACAUUGCGCCCGCCAGUAUUCUGGCGGGCAUGCCUGUUCGAGCGUCAUUUCAACCAUCAAGCCCCCGGCUUGUGUUGGGGACCUGCGGCUGCCGCAGGCCCUGAAAACCAGUGGCGGGCUCGCUAGUCACUCCGAGCGUAGUAAUACAUCUCGCUCAGGGCGUGCUGCGGGUUCCGGCCGUUAAAAAGCCUUAUUUACCCAAGGUUGACCUCGGAUCAGGUAGGAAGACCCGCUGAACUUAAGCAUAUCAAUAAGCGGAGGA